UACGGAGGGAGCUAGCGUUGUUCGGAAUUACUGGGCGUAAAGCGCGCGUAGGCGGCUUUGCAAGUUAGAGGUGAAAGCCCGGAGCUCAACUUCGGAAUUGCCUUUAAAACUGCAUCGCUUGAAUCCGGGAGAGGUGAGUGGAAUUCCGAGUGUAGAGGUGAAAUUCGUAGAUAUUCGGAAGAACACCAGUGGCGAAGGCGGCUCACUGGGCCGGCAUUGACGCUGAGGUGCGAAAGCGUGGGGAGCAAACAGG
rnacentral:rRNA from 1 species